GACGAACGCUGGCGGCGCGCCUAACACAUGCAAGUCGAACGAGCGAGAGAGAGCUUGCUUUCUCAAGCGAGUGGCGAACGGGUGAGUAACGCGUGAGGAACCUGCCUCAAAGAGGGGGACAACAGUUGGAAACGACUGCUAAUACCGCAUAAGCCCACAGGUCGGCAUCGACCAGAGGGAAAAGGAGCAAUCCGCUUUGAGAUGGCCUCGCGUCCGAUUAGCUAGUUGGUGAGGUAAUGGCCCACCAAGGCGACGAUCGGUAGCCGGACUGAGAGGUUGAACGGCCACAUUGGGACUGAGACACGGCCCAGACUCCUACGGGAGGCAGCAGUGGGGAAUAUUGCACAAUGGGGGAAACCCUGAUGCAGCGACGCCGCGUGGAGGAAGAAGGUCUUCGGAUUGUAAACUCCUGUUGUUGAGGAAGAUAAUGACGGUACUCAACAAGGAAGUGACGGCUAACUACGUGCCAGCAGCCGCGGUAAAACGUAGGUCACAAGCGUUGUCCGGAAUUACUGGGUGUAAAGGGAGCGCAGGCGGGAAGACAAGUUGGAAGUGAAAUCUAUGGGCUCAACCCAUAAACUGCUUUCAAAACUGUUUUUCUUGAGUAGUGCAGAGGUAGGCGGAAUUCCCGGUGUAGCGGUGGAAUGCGUAGAUAUCGGGAGGAACACCAGUGGCGAAGGCGGCCUACUGGGCACCAACUGACGCUGAGGCUCGAAAGUGUGGGUAGCAAACAGG
rnacentral:rRNA from 1 species